UACGUAGGGUGCGAGCGUUAAUCGGAAUUACUGGGCGUAAAGCGUGCGCAGGCGGUCUGUUAAGACCGAUGUGAAAUCCCCGGGCUCAACCUGGGAAUUGCAUCUGUGACUGCAUAGCUAGAGUACGGUAGAGGGGGAUGGAAUUCCGCGUGUAGCAGUGAAAUGCGUAGAUAUGCGGAGGAACACCGAUGGCGAAGGCAAUCCCCUGGACCUGUACUGACGCUCAUGCACGAAAGCGUGGGGAGCAAACAGG
rnacentral:rRNA from 1 species